UAGGGAAUCUUCGGCAAUGGGGGGAACCCUGACCGAGCAACGCCGCGUGAGUGAAGAAGGUUUUCGGAUCGUAAAGCUCUUCUGUUAAGGAAGAACGAGUGUGAGAAUGGAAAGUUCAUGCUGUGACGGUACUUAACCAGAAAGGGACGGCUAACUACGUGCCAGCAGCCGCGGUAAUACGUAGGUCCCGAGCGUUGUCCGGAUUUAUUGGGUGUAAAGCGAGCGCAGGCGGUUAGAAAAGUCUGAAGUGAAAGGCAGUGGCUCAACCAUUGUAGGCUUUGGAAACUGUUUAACUUGAGUGCAGAAGGGGAUAGUGGAAUUCCAUGGGUAGCGGUGAAAUGCGUAAAUAUAUGGAGGAACGCCGGUGGCGAAAGCGGCUCUCUAGUCUGUAACUGACGCUGAGGCUCGAAAGCGUGGGGAGCGAACAGG
rnacentral:rRNA from 1 species